CCUACGGGAGGCAGCAGUGAGGAAUAUUGGUCAAUGGGCGCAAGCCUGAACCAGCCAUCCCGCGUGAGGGAAGAAUGCGCUAUGCGUAGUAAACUUCUUUUCCAGAGGAAGAAAACCCCCGACGUGUCGGGGCUUGCCGGUACUCUGGGAAUAAGCAUCGGCUAACUCCGUGCCAGCAGCCGCGGUAAUACGUAAGAUGCUAGCGUUGUCCGGAUUUACUGGGUGUAAAGGGAGCGCAGGCGGGUUGGUAAGUCGGUGGUGAAAUUCUUAGGCUUAACCUGAGAACUGCCAUCGAUACUGCUAAUCUUGAGUGCAGAAGAGGUUGAUGGAAUUCUAGGUGUAGCGGUGAAAUGCGUAGAUAUCUAGAAGAACACCGAUGGCGAAGGCAGUCAACUGGUCUGCUACUGACGCUCAUGCUCGAAAGCGUGGGGAUCAAACAGGAUUAGAUACCCUGGUAGUCCACGCCCUAAACGAUGAAUACUCGAUGUCGGGCCGCAAGGCUCGGUGUCUAAGCUAACGCAUUAAGUAUUCCACCUGGGGAGUACGAUCGCAAGGUUGAAACUCAAAGGAAUAGACGG
rnacentral:rRNA from 1 species